CAUGGGUUCCGCUGGGGGUAGAUAUCAUAUGUGACAGUUCUGCUCCGAGCUACCGUUGGGGUCGGGUUGUUUGUGAAUGCCGCCCAAAGUGAGUAGUAGACUCCAUGGUUAAAUACUUACACGAGUCCGAUGGCGAACAAGUACCGUGAGACAAAAUUGAAAAGUACAUUAGAGAGAGUGAGAGAGAGUAGACAGUACGUGAAACCGUUCAAAGAUAAACGGGUGGAGUUGAACUAUAAGCUCUGGGAAUUCAGCUGAUGAGUAUGAUUUUUGCUUGGGCAUACUGACCGCCAUCAGUGUUUGUUUAACUGCAGGUGCAUGCCUUUUGGUGGCUAUAUGUUAAUCGUUUGCAUAAGAUGCACUCACUGUUGAUGUGAGGGUCUGCUUGCCAGUGCACUUUCUCAGGAUGUUCACCACAACCGGCACUGCUGCCUGUCUGCUAUGGCCAUACUGAUCAGGUCUGAUAUCUGUCAGUCUUGGUUGGGUCGGCAGGUGACUCUUUGGCUGAUCUAUGGGCUGUGAGUAUUACUAACCGGCUGUAGUGGAGCUAUGCGAUGUGUCGGAGAUAGCGGCUUCGCAGGCGUGCCUAGGCCUUCAGGCAUUGUUGAG
rnacentral:ncRNA from 1 species